GUACGGGGCCAGUGGCGCAAUGGAUAACGCGUCUGACUACGGAUCAGAAGAUUCUAGGUUCGACUCCUGGCUGGCUCGAUACGUACAUUUUGCCAGGCACCUGGCUGGAAGACCCGAGGAGGCCCAGAAUGCCUGCGGCGGAGCGGGGACUCGACUCCGGGGACGCGCCGAGACAUCUAACGCUGUGGAUUAACCACUCACUCAGUCGAUCAAUUGAUCUCUCCAGUACAACUUGUUUUCCUAUCAAGGAAAUGAUAGAAAAUUGGAAAAAUACAGAACAUUACUGGGAAUAAAAAUAAUGCGAAUUUUCAUCCCGAGAGCAUCACUAACAUCGUAAUUUUUUUUUCCUUACAGACUUUUUUUUUUCUUUCACGCUUUUUUUUUUCCUUCCAUACUUUUUCAUGUGGAUCUACCGUCACACGUAUUUUUCUGAAUUUGGGGUGGUUGAACCAGAAAUGGCUUUGUGUUCUCACUUUGUCCCCUUAGCUUUUUGCCUGAGAUUCACGGUUAUUAAAUAUUCUUUGAAGAUAUCUCAUUAGAGAACUAGAUAUUUUAAAUACUACUCUUUUGUUGGGAAUUUGAGUUGUCGGUUUGACGCUUUUUAAAAAUAACGCUGCGUUGAAUUAUUUCGGAUAUGUCAUUAAUUUCUAGAUGUGGAAUGAUCUGGUGGACUUUUUUUGUCUUUUUUUUCCCUUGCUGAUUAGUGUAACAUUUAUUUAUUUAUUUGUUUGUUUAAGGUGGACAUUUUUAAGAUCUAUUUCACCGACAUUUCUAAGAUGUGGUACAUAUUUUCAAAUUGCCCUCCAAGAAAAUUAAACCAAUACACAUGUCAAUAUCUGUUACCUUGCAUGCUAACCAACACUGAGUAUUAUAAAUUUCAUUAUGAUUUCUUUGCAAUUUUCAUAACUGAAAAAACUUCCUCUAUAUUUAUUACUUGAUGUAUAUAUUUUCUCUUGAUGUAUGUAUUCAAUGUUUCCUUAUAGAUUUGUUAGACUUUUUAAUAUAUAAAAGGAUAUGAAUUCUUUGGCUAUCAAAUACAUUACAGUCUUUUUCCAA